GGGGCUAUAGCUCAGUGGUAGAGUGUGUGCUUAGCAUGCAUGAGGCCCUGGGUUCAAACCCCAGUACCA
rnacentral:tRNA from 1 species